GCGGGUGUGGCGGAAUUGGUAGACGCACCAGAUUUAGGUUCUGGCGCCGCGAGGCGUGGGGGUUCAAGUCCCUUCACCCGUACCA
rnacentral:tRNA from 5 species